CUAAGUGGGCCGUCAUGUGGGCCGAUGCGGGGCGUGCGAAAGAGGCGAGCAGGGUUGUCGUGGGCUCGUAGCGCUCCGCCCCCAACGGCGGCGGCGGCGGCGAUGCGAAGGGGCAGCUUCGGUGGCCGCCGGCAGGGCGACGAGCAGGCGAGCAGCUCUGCGUCGGUGUAGAGAAGUCGACCCCCUGGCGGCAGAUGGAUUGGGAAACAGAGUAGCGCCAUGCCGCCAUCUACAUAAACUGCUAAUGGCACUGACGGCCCAUCAGUUCUUUUGCUCUGUCCACAAGAGCAAAGAGAGGUGUGCUGUAUUCCAUAAAACCUGCGUCACCCAAGAAAGUCCUGUAGUUCUCAACCCCUGAGGGCAUCUCCUCUACCAUCCACAGUGCUUCUAUCAUCCGGAAUUCGUUGAAACAACUGGUAUAGUGAGAAUUACACUCCAUCAUGUAUAUAGAUUGCUCAAGUAUCACCCUCCUAAUCCCAGGACAGUGAGCACCUGGGUUCAUAUUUGCAUUCAGUACAUCAACUAGCCUCUUUAUGAAUCUCUGCUUAAUCUGUUUGUCAUCUA